ACGCCUGAGCCCUUGGGAUUAGUGGGGGAGAAGGGCGCAGCCGAUCAGCCAUGCCGCGGCGUGUGUGUAAGAAGGCCUUAUGGUUGUAAAGCACUUUAAGCGAGGAGGAGGCUACUUUAGUUAAUACCUAGAGAUAGUGAACGUUCCUCGCAAAAAAAGCACCGGUUAAUUCUGUGCCAGCACCCGCGGUAUUACAAAGCAUACGGGGCAAGCGUUAAUCGAAUUUACGGGGCGUAAAGCUUUGCGCGUAGGCGGCUAAUUAAGUCAAAUGUGAAAUCCCCGAGUUUACUUGGAAAUUGCAUUCAAUACUGGUUACCUAAAUUGUGGAAAAGGAUGGUAAAAUUCCAGGUGUACCGUUAAAAUGCUUAAAGAGCGUAAAGAUCUGAAGAAAUACCGAUGGCAAAGGCAGCCCUCUGGCCUAACACUGACCCUAAGGUGCACGAAAAGCUUGGGAAGCAAACAGGAUUAGAUACCCUGGUAGUCCAUGCCGUAAACAAUGUCUACUAGCCGUUGGGGCCUUUGAGGCUUUAGUGGCGCACCUAACGCGAUAAGUACACCGCCUGGGGAGUACGGUCGCAAGACUAAAACUCAAAUGAAUUGACGGGGGCCCGCACAAGCGGUGGAGCAUGUGGUUUAAUUCGAUGCAACGCGAAGAACCUUACCUGGCCUUGACAUAGUAAGAAGUUUCCAGAGAUGGAUUGGUGCCUUCGGCAACUUACAUACAGGUGCUGCAUGGCUGACGCCACCUCGUGUCGUGAGAUGUUGGGUUAAUUCCCGCAACGAGCGCAACCCUUUUCCUUAUUUGCCAGCGAGUAAUGUCGGGAACUUUAAGGAUACUGCCAGUGACAAACUGAAGGAAGGCGGGAACAACUUCAAGUCAUCAUGGCCCUUACGGCCAGGGCUACACACGUGCUACAAUGGUCGGUACAAAGGGUUGCUACCUAGCGAUAGGAUGCUAAUCUCAAAAAGCCGAUCGUACUCCGGAUUGAAGUCUGCACCUCGACUCCAUGAAGUCGAAAUCGCUAGUAAUCGCGAAUCAAAAUGCCGGGGCAAUACUUACCAGGGGCAAUGAUACCCUUGUACGCCUCACCCCCGUCCCCCCGGGGGCUGGAAUUUUACACCCCCAAAACUUAACUUCCUACUGCAAAGGGCGUGCCCGGGUAGCCGAAUACUAGGGAACGCCCCCGCCCUGGCGG
rnacentral:rRNA from 1 species